GUAAUGUCUGGGAAACUGCCUGAUGGAGGGGGAUAACUACUGGAAACGGUGGCUAAUACCGCAUAACGUCGCAAGACCAAAGAGGGGGACCUUCGGGCCUCUUGCCAUCAGAUGUGCCCAGAUGGGAUUAGCUAGUUGGUGAGGUAACGGCUCACCAAGGCGACGAUCCCUAGCUGGUCUGAGAGGAUGACCAGCCACACUGGAACUGAGACACGGUCCAGACUCCUACGGGAGGCAGCAGUGGGGAAUAUUGCACAAUGGGCGCAAGCCUGAUGCAGCCAUGCCGCGUGUAUGAAGAAGGCCUUCGGGUUGUAAAGUACUUUCAGCGGGGAGGAAGGUGUUGUGGUUAAUAACCGCAGCAAUUGACGUUACCCGCAGAAGAAGCACCGGCUAACUCCGUGCCAGCAGCCGCGGUAAUACGGAGGGUGCAAGCGUUAAUCGGAAUUACUGGGCGUAAAGCGCACGCAGGCGGUCUGUCAAGUCGGAUGUGAAAUCCCCGGGCUCAACCUGGGAACUGCAUUCGAAACUGGCAGGCUUGAGUCUUGUAGAGGGGGGUAGAAUUCCAGGUGUAG
rnacentral:rRNA from 1 species